rnacentral:rRNA from 1 species
UACGUAGGGUGCGAGCGUUGUCCGGAAUUAUUGGGCGUAAAGAGCUCGUAGGCGGUGUGUCGCGUCGGCCGUGAAAAACCUGGGGGCUUAACUCUGGGCGUGCGGUCGAUACGGGCAUCACUAGAGUUCGGCAGGGGAGACUGGAAUUCCUGGUGUAGCGGUGAAAUGCGCAGAUAUCAGGAGGAACACCGGUGGCGAAGGCGGG